rnacentral:tRNA from 1 species
UAGUUCAGUGGUAGAACAUCACCUUGCCAAGGUGGGGGUCGCGGGUUCGAACCCCG